ACCUCACAGUGAAGGCUUGGAGGGCCGGGCGUCCAGGCAGGAAUUGAAGAUGGAGAAACUGAGGCUGGGAGAGGAGCUGGGAUGUGCCUCCGUGGGUCUGUGGAGAGGAGUCCCUGUAGAAAUGAAGUCUUGGCGGGGGGAAGUAACUUGCUCAUCAUCAUCUGCUGGUUCUCGCCCCAUCCUGAACUGUGCCCAGAACUCAUCCUGUGGUCUGCAAGGGGCUGCCGUGAUCCACUUAGUCGUGGAGAGGAAUCACUGUGAAACCUGGGUAUUUCCAGCCUGCCCUCUGGCCUCCUCUCCCCAUAGGUCUGAGGCCACCCCCCACUUCCACCUAGUCUACAGUAUAAAACUGGCCAUGAACAGUCACUGUUUUCUCUAGGGCCAGAGGUACCCAAGCCCAUUCACUGCUCUGACUUUGAGUAACAAGGCCAAAUCUCACUCACUGCAUGGACCUAUCUGCACGCCCUGACUUUUGCUGAUCACUCCGGACUGAACUCUUUGUCUGUGUCUCCCUGGCUAUUCGUCUUUCCUCACGAUCUCCAGCAACGCAGACUGAUAAAGCAGCAGCAUCAAGUAACAUGCUGAAAAAAGAGGGAGAGGGAAUAGGUGUGAGCGAUAUUGUUAUUUGCCUCUUGGAAGCAAAGACUGCAUCUUAGUCUUUGUAAGUCCCCACUCUGCCCAACAUAGACCUAUUCCAGCCUCAUGCCUUGAGCCUAGCAGACACAUAGAAAUACUAAAGCAUCAUAAAACUUUUUCUUGGUAGUGGGAAAAUUGUAAAUAACUAGGCUGGCCAUUGUCACAUCUCUCUGACCAUACAGAUGAGUAGCUCAGAACAUGGGCUUUGCAAAUACAAGGUCAGGCUCUGCCCUGACCAGUUGUACAAGAGUGACAAGUUACUUGAUCUCUCUAGGACUCAGUUUUUUCAUCUGUAAAAUGAGGAUAAUUAUACCUCACAGUGCUGAGCGAGGAAAGGAGAAGAAUGCUCAUGUGUGAAUCGUUGUUAACCCACCCAGCGGCUCCUCGAGAGAAAGACCUGGUGAUCUGCUCCCAUAAAGAUUACAGCCAAGAAAACCCUGUGGGGCAGCUCUACUCUGUCACAUGGGGUUGCUAUGAGUUGGAAUCGACUUGACCGCACAGAACAACAACAGGGUGGAAUCUGAAUUCAGCUAUAGAGCUUAGGUAUGGUUUUAAACUUCCAUAUGGCUCAAUUUUUUCAUGUAUAAAAUUAGGCUGAUAGUAGUACCUAUCAUAUAGUUUUGUUUUGUAAAUUAAUGAGUUAAUAAACAUCGAGGGCUAAGAAUAGUACCUGGCACAGAGCAAGUGCUCAGUAAGGAUGGCUAUUGUUUUUGGUGGAAUUGGAUGAGGACUGAAUGGUAAAAGUUCCUAGCACAAUGCCUAGUAGAGAGUCAGCACUCAGUAAAUGAUAGCUUUUAUUAUUCCUUCGUCUGUAAAAUGGAGUUAUAAUAGUUCCUCUUACAUAAGGGUGUUCU